CAGAAACCAAUCUCCCAUUAAGUUGACCUUUUACCUCUCCCAUGAAACGUUAAAACUCAAUAUCAUCGCAAUUUUAAAGCGAAUCUGCAACAUGAAGUUGCGACUUAUCUUGGUUUCCUUUUUCCACAGAAUUUUCUUAGAAACUGCUCCAAAUUUCUUCAUUUUUAUAGGUUAUCUGAAGAUUCUGAUCAUCCUCAUAAUCUUAAGGAUCAAAUGAAAAGAUGUUGUGUCUCACUUUCUCAAGAUGAUAAAGGUAACCAAUGUUUACAGUCAUUAACUAAAUCCCCUGAAAUCGCUGAGCAAGGGAUCAAAUUAAUGGAGUGCUAAUCAUCUUAACUUGACCGAAAAUAAUAUUUAGUUGAGAGGAAAUCAGAUGUUCAGAAGCGAUAAUGAUUAAUCAUUAUGAUGAUGAAAAGAUAAAUCAACUUAUCUGAUCGAAAAUCUGUAAGAGAUUAUGAUUAACAAUCAAUAUUAUCUCGAUGCUGUUUGUUCAACGAGAUGCGAUUACCGUUCACAUUAAAGUGAUUUAAUCGAACUCAUUUUGUUACCGAUAAUCCAAUUGUUUAUUAUUGUUACUUUUUAAUCUCAAUUAAUCUAAUCCUCCAAGUUUCCAUUCAUCAGGAAGCCUUGCGAUACUUUUUUGCAUCAUCAUCAAUAUCGAGGAUCGUCCUAACACCAAGGCUUGUCCUGGAAUAACAUGUGUACCAUGUUGACCACUAAUUAAAAGAAAUCAUCCUUAGGCGUGUCAUGGAAAAAAUGAAAUAUCAUAUAAAUGAAGGGAACAAUUUGAGCCUAUCCUACUCUUUACUUAACCAAUUCGGUCUCUCUCUCUCUCUCUCUCUCUCUCUCUCUCUCUCUCUUUCUCUUUCUU